rnacentral:miRNA from 1 species
UUGCGCACUGAGCAAGGACAGG